rnacentral:lncRNA from 1 species
AAUAUGCAGGUAUCAUUGAAUUCUAAGAAUUACACAGUUAAUCAUUGAAUUCCGAAAAAUAGUCUUUGAUUGCAGUCAAAUACCAAAACCAAUUUUAUCAAUCAUUUAACCCUAGUUAUACAUUUCAAUAAACAUGUCGGUUAUUAUUGUUAAAAAUAUAUAAAUAACACAUUAAGAAGAGGGUGAUAGAGCAGAUUGGUACAUCGAGAAAACGUUUUCAAUUAAGGAAAAUUCAAAUGUUUACAAUGUUUUUUUCGGGGGUACCAAGCCAUGUGUAUAUCGUCUAUUAUACUGAAUAUUCUGCCAUAAUGUGAAGUCCUGUACAUAAUAAAGUUACAGUUAUCUGAAAAACAAC